UCCAGCGGCUUUGUUUCUUUUUCCCACGUUUGUGCACUUUCACAGAUAUUAAACGGUUAAUAAACCACCAUUAUUACACAUUUAAACCCGAAGAAACACUAAAUAGACAAAAUAAAACAAAUCACACAACUUCACUCCUUGCGUUCCCGCCAAAAAGUCCAGUACAGGGGGGUGCAACUCCCGGGUGAAUGAAGUUAGCCCCUCAAAAAAAUUUUUCUUUCCUAUUUUCUACUUAUUUUCUAUUAAUUCGUUUGUUCAUCAUUUGUUCAUGAUUGUUCACUAUCAAUAAUUGUUUGUUCCUCAUUUAUUUAUUUAAAAAUAAUUAUUAAAAAUAUACCUACAAGUUAGCCCCUCAGUUGCAAUUUUUAAUAUUUUUUCGUCCUUAAUGACUCGGACAUAUUCAUUUUCGAUUGUUUUUAUAUAAAAUACGUUUGUUCUCUUUCGAAAUAACUCAUUUUUUGUUUAAUUAACUAUUUGUAUUAGUAUGCAAAAUAUGUGUACUGCGCAUGUGUCAACUAUAAUGCCUAAACCUUCUAUGCGGUUUUAAUUGUGAAAAAAAAACAAUUAUAAAUCCUGAAGGAUCAAUUAAUUGGUACAUAUACAGUUUAAUUAAAAAAAAAUAAAAAUAAAAAAUGAAAUAAUGUGCAUUCGCGUAAAGUUAGACCAAAUGCAUUUUUUCCAUACUCCUACCUAUCGUUAUAAAGGUAUAAAAAAAAGAUAGGUUAAGAGUUCACAUAGGUAAUAUAAACAAAUAAGUAAAUAUGUUCAUUAUUUCUCUUUUAAGAGAUAAUGUAGGUAUACAUUAUAAUAACUUUUUUACACAGUCGAAAUUAUAUUCAUAACAUUAGUAAAAUAACAUUUUAAUAUUUUUUUUAUAGGUUAUGUAUUGAAAGUGUUUGAAAAUUAUUUCAUGUUUUAGCUGGAAAACGACAUAGAGAAUUAUAUGCAAUACAAGAUAAUGGGCUUCAUCAAAUGAAUUCGAAUGAAACCAAACUGUUUACCAUCCAAAUUUGAUUGUUGGGCAGAUAGAAAACGAAAAUUCACUCAAAGUGAACCUCGGCCUGCAUUUGUGAAACGGCAAAGACUCACUAAUACUCACUGUUAUCAAGGAGAUUGGAGAGACGACUAAAAAUGAGAUGUGUCAUAUACCUUUGCCAUAUUGUAGUCAAGAUGUUCAGCCACUUGAAAAUAGGUGUAGUAAUGACAAAGCUAUCCAAGUAGCUCCAGCACAGGAACACAAAGGCAAGGCAAGUGUGUAUUGCCCCAUCACCCCUUAAUAUAUCUGAAGCAAGUACAAGUAAACAAUCAGAACAGUGAUGAGUCAAAUGCACCAGCAACAGAAGGAUCAGCUGUUGACUAUGAGUUAUCUCUCUAUAUCUCCACUCCAUCAAAGACUUGUGCACUUCAGAGUAUAGCUCUCAAGAAGACUACAAAAGUUGAAAAAAUGAAUCUGUUAACAACUUCAUCUAAAGUGAAAAAUAAACCACAUUUAUUUAUUGGACUUCCACAAGAAUUAUAUUUCAUAAUAGGCUUGAUUGAGAAACAUACAAAUGUUUCUGAACAAAAUAUUAUAUUAUGUUUGAUGAGAAUAAUAUUAAAUAGAACAUUCUCUCAAUUGGCUGAUGAUUUUGAUUUAUCUGUAAGUCAAGCAAGCAAUAUAUUUUUCAACAAACUCCCAGAAAUUGCAAAUGUAAUAUCACCCCUUGUUAAAAAAAAACAAUACAAUAAAUAUAUAUGCAGGAAGGAUAAUUGAUGUCAACUUGGUGGAAAAUAGAAAGUUUUUAGAUAGUUUGCCACCUACAAAACUCUUUAAUUAAAUAAGUAAUCCUUACUUAUAAAUAGGAAGUUUUGUAAGUAUUUUCACUCUUCAUUCAAAAACUACUGAACAGAUUUUAAUAAGACUUUUAUGCUGGUCUUCUAUGGCUAGCAACUCAUUAUUAUUUUGAUUCUGUUUUCCACAAAUGUGCUAAAUAUGGGCUUAUAUAUAUGAAAAGGAAUAAAUAUUAAUGUUAUGUAACCUUUGUACCUGUAUGUUAAGAAUAAUUUUUAAUAAAACAUAAUUUAAAUUGAAA